AGAUUGAACGCUGGCGGCAGGCCUAACACAUGCAAGUCGAGCGGUAGAGAGGUGCUUGCACCUCUUGAGAGCGGCGGACGGGUGAGUAAUGCCUAGGAAUCUGCCUAGUGGUGGGGGAUAACGUUCGGAAACGGACGCUAUUACCGCAUACGUCCUACGGGAGAAAGCGGGGGACCUUCGGGCCUCGCGCCAUUAGAUGAGCCUAGGUCGGAUUAGCUAGUUGGUGAGGUAAUGGCUCACCAAGGCGACGAUCCGUAACUGGUCUGAGGGGAUGAUCAGUCACACUGGAACUGAGACACGGUCCAGACUCCUACGGGAGGCAGCAGUGGGGAAUAUUGGACAAUGGGCGAAAGCCUGAUCCAGCCAUGCCGCGUGUGUGAAGAAGGUCUUCGGAUUGUAAAGCACUUUAAGUUGGAGGAAGGUUGUAACCUAAUACGUUGCAACUUUGACGUUACGACAAGAAUAAGCACCGGUCUAACUUCGUGCCCAGCACGCCG
rnacentral:rRNA from 1 species